GUAAUCAACAAUCAUACAGCACAGGCUUAUGUGUUCUCUUGGCCACAGAGACUCAAACUCUGAAGGAUUUCUCAUAUUACCUGCUCAAAACUAAAGACUUUUAGAGCUUAUCUAUCAGAGACUCAAACUCUGAAGGACUUCUCACAUCUCAUCAUCAGUACUCAAGAUUAAGAGUUUAUCUUUCAGGUCAGCAGCCACCAGGGCAAGAUGGUAAGUGAAAAGACCAACAGUCAAGAGACCAGCAUCAAAGAGUCCUCCUCAGUCUCCUUGAGGCAGUCAGAGGAGGAGGACGACACUGGCCUGACACACAGACCACAACCAGUGUGAACUUCAGGCAGGCCUUCUGCUGGCUCUGGAAAAGAGUUCUUGCUUAUUUUGGGAGGAGAGUGAUGGUCAGCAGCCCAUCAGCAACCCCAACUAAGAAAAGAGGUCUUCACACCUCCAAGAGAAUCCACCCUGAAGAAACCCUCACUGAAUUAGCAUCAGCCAAAUCCCCAGAGUUUUAAACAGUUUGAUGGCCUCAGUUCUAUAAUUCCUAUAGGUUUGUUUUUCUCAAUAAAAUAAAUGUUCUUGUUCACAG
ensembl:lncRNA